rnacentral:rRNA from 1 species
GACGAACGCUGGCGGCGUGCUUAACACAUGCAAGUCGAACGGAAAGGCCCGGCGUUUGUGGGGUGCUCGAGUGGCGAACGGGUGAGUAACACGUGAGUAACCUGCCCUUGACUUUGGGAUAACUUCAGGAAACUGGGGCUAAUACCGGAUAGGAGCUCCUGCUGCAUGGUGGGGGUUGGAAAGUUUCGGCGGUUGGGGAUGGACUCGCGGGUUAUCAGCUUGUUGGUGGGGUAGUGGCUUACCAAGGCUUUGACGGGUAGCCGGCCUGAGAGGGUGACCGGCCACAUUGGGACUGAGAUACGGCCCAGACUCCUACGGGAGGCAGCAGUGGGGAAUAUUGCACAAUGGGCGGAAGCCUGAUGCAGCAACGCCGCGUGCGGGAUGACGGCCUUCGGGUUGUAAACCGCUUUCGCCUGUGACGAAGCGUGAGUGACGGUAAUGGGUAAAGAAGCACCGGCUAACUACGUG